GAUGUCCCUAUGAAUCUGUGAACUAGCGAUAGUAAAUUAGUAACCGAUCUUCGAAGAAACCGAAGAAGAAGUAAACAAACACACAUUCAAAAUCUCAUUCGAUUCUCAGAUUUUUGAAAUCUGCCUCCGAUCUCUCUCUCUUAUCUCAUUCCUCUGAUCGUGGAUUGAGAUGGAGACCUUACCCACGACGGUUCCGUCAAAAUCAGAACGACGAGCUCGGUCCUCCAAGUCUUCUCAGAGUUCCUCUAAGCCCUCAGUUAUAAUGGCUUUCUUCUCUUGCGUCGCUUGGCUCUAUGUCGCUGGUCGGUUAUGGCAAGAUGCAGAGAAUAGAGUGGUACUCAAUAAUAUUCUUAAGAAGAGUUAUCAUCAGAAGACUAAGGUUCUUACGGUUGAUGACAAGUUGAUCGUCCUAGGAUGCAAAGAUCUUGAGAGGAGAAUUGUUGAAACUGAAAUGGAGUUGACUCUUGCAAAGAGUCUAGGCUAUCUUAAAAACCAGAAGAGUGGUUCUUCUUCAGGGAAGAAAUUGCUUGCUGUGAUUGGAGUUUAUACAGGUUUUGGAAGUCAUUUGAGGCGUAAUACAUUUAGAGGGACUUGGAUGCCACAAGGUGAUGCUUUGAGGAAACUUGAGGAAAGAGGAAUUGUCAUACGUUUUGUGAUUGGUCGAAGUCCAAAUCGAGGUGAUAGCUUAGAUCGAAAAAUCGACGAGGAAAAUCAAGCAAGAAAAGAUUUUUUGAUUCUUGAGAAUCACGAGGAGGCCCAAGAAGAGCUACCCAAGAAAGUGAAGUUCUUCUUUAGUGCUGCUGUUCAAAACUGGGAUGCACAGUUUUACAUCAAAGUUGAUGACAAUAUUGACCUAGAUCUUGAGGGGUUGAUUGGCCUUCUUGAAAGCCGGCGUGGUCAAGAUGCUGCUUACAUUGGGUGUAUGAAGUCUGGUGAAGUGGUUGCUGAAGAGGGAGGGCAAUGGUAUGAGCCAGAAUGGUGGAAAUUUGGGGACGAAAAAUCGUACUUCCGCCAUGCAGCUGGUUCGCUGUUAAUACUAUCCAAAAAUUUGGCUCAGUAUGUAAACAUAAACAGUGGAUCGUUGAAGACAUAUGCAUUUGAUGAUACUUCUAUAGGAUCUUGGAUGAUUGGUGUUCAGGCAACUUAUAUAGACGACAAUCGCCUUUGCUGCAGCAGCAUCAGACAAGACAAGGUUUGUUCUGUGGCUUGAUCAUUGGACUCUUCCAGCAAAACCUCUGGUGUAUUCAUGGCGCUUCUGAUUCUCUCUGUGAGGCAUAACCUCCAAGAUUAUCAUAUAUUGAUUGAAGAAGAAGAGGAAGAGAGUUUUCACUGAAAAAAAAUUUGGGGCCAUUGUAAGAAUUAGCUUAUUUUGACAGAAAAAAUAUACUUAACGAACGCUUGCGGUAUUUGGUCUAGUAACUAACCCUUUUUGGGCUUUUCGGACCGAUCUUCGCUUCAUACAUCGAAUGCCUAACUGUUUCUAACAGAUUAAAAACCUUGCUUCUGAAUUUGGUUUCUCUACUCUAUUUUCAUCUUCUGUAAACGAGAGAUUAUUUGCAUCGUUUACCA